GAUGAACGCUGGCGGCGUGCCUAAUACAUGCAAGUCGAGCGAACAGACGAGGAGCUUGCUCCUCUGACGUUAGCGGCGGACGGGUGAGUAACACGUGGAUCACCUACCUAUAAGACUGGGAUAACUUCGGGAAACCGGAGCUAAUACCGGAUAAUAUAUUGAACCGCAUGGUUCAAUGGUGAAAGACGGUUUUGCUGUCACUUAUAGAUGGAUCCGCGCCGCAUUAGCUAGUUGGUACGGUAACGGCUUACCAAGGCAACGAUGCGUAGCCGACCUGAGAGGGUGAUCGGCCACACUGGAACUGAGACACGGUCCAGACUCCUACGGGAGGCAGCAGUAGGGAAUCUUCCGCAAUGGGCGAAAGCUUGACGGAGCAACGCCGCGUGAGUGAUGAAGGUCUUCGGAUCGUAAAACUCUGUUAUUAGGGAAGAACAAAUGUGUAAGUAACUAUGCACGUCUUGCCGGUACCUAAUCAGAAAGCCACGGCUAACUACGUG
rnacentral:rRNA from 1 species